GACGAACGCUGGCGGCGUGCUUAACACAUGCAAGUCGAACGGAAAGGCCCUGCUUUUGUGGGGUGCUCGAGUGGCGAACGGGUGAGUAACACGUGAGUAACCUGCCCUUGACUUUGGGAUAACUUCAGGAAACUGGGGCAAUUACCGGAUAGGACCUCCUGCUGCUUGGGGGGGGUUGGAAAGUUUCGGCGGUUGGGGAUGGACUCGCGGCUUAUCAGCUUGUUGGUGGGGUAGUGGCUUACCAAGGCUUUGACGGGUAGCCGGCCUGAGAGGGUGACCGGCCACAUUGGGACUGAGAUACGGCCCAGACUCCUACGGGAGGCAGCAGUGGGGAAUAUUGCACAAUGGGCGGAAGCCUGAUGCAGCAACGCCGCGUGCGGGAUGACGGCCUUCGGGUUGUAAACCGCUUUCGCCUGUGACGAAGCGUGAGUGACGGUAAUGGGUAAAGAAGCACCGGCUAACUACGUG
rnacentral:rRNA from 1 species